rnacentral:rRNA from 1 species
UACGUAGGGCGCGAGCCGUGUCCGGGAAUAUUGGGCGUAAAGAGCUCUUAGGCGGCCUGUUGCCGUCUUGCUGUGAAAUUCCAGGGCUUAAACCCUGGGCUUGCAGUGGAUACGGGCAGGCUGGAGGCAGGCAGGGGAGACGGAAUUCCCGGUGUAGCGGUGAAAUCGCGCAGAUAUCGGGAGGAACACCGGGUGGCGAAGGGCGGUUCUCUGGGCCUGUGCUGGACGCUGAGGAGCGAAAGCGUGGGGGAGCAAAACAGGA